AGCGGCGGACGGGUGAGUAACGCGUGGGUAACCUACCUCAUACAGGGGGAUAACAGUUGGAAACGGCUGCUAAUACCGCAUAAGCGCACAGUACCGCAUGGUACUGUGUGAAAAACUCCGGUGGUAUGAGAUGGACCCGCGUCUGAUUAGCUAGUUGGUGGGGUAACGGCCUACCAAGGCGACGAUCAGUAGCCGACCUGAGAGGGUGACCGGCCACAUUGGGACUGAGACACGGCCCAA
rnacentral:rRNA from 1 species